UAUGUGUGUAUGAAAUUUAUGAAAUAAAAGAGAAAAGAAAUCGUCAGAAUGUGCGAGCGAGCGAUGCAAUUUUCAAACGUCGCAUGCUUCAUGAUUCCGUAAACACAUCGUCAUUAAUGUCUGUAAAACGUACAGUGAACAUGUUUCUCUUGCUGGAAACUCUUUAAGACAAAAUUCUGUUACUCAAGAAUUUUAAAAUGAAACGAAUGAACUAAAGACUGCUAAAUCUUAUGUCAAAGACAGUAAAUAUUCUGAAGAAGUGAAUCAUGAGCGCCGAGGACGACGUUGAUAACGUUGAUCAACAAGAAUUAGACACUGUUUUAUGUACUGAAGAAGUUGCAACCGAUUGUUGAAAUUCAUAUUCCAUUGAAAUCCUACAGUGGCAGUACGGCUCUACGAACGAACGAUUUGUCACUGAAUCGAGACAGUAAAUAUCAAUAUGCUGCCAUGUUGAAGCUCUAGAAAUCCUACGGAGAGGAAUGCAAUCAAGUUGAUGAUGCCAAUUCACUUCAGGAAAGAAAUCAAGAUGAACUAAAUGGACUUGAAUUAAUAGACCUUGAGGUCAACAAUCUCUUUGAGCACAGCAGGCAGAAUAUGGACUGUCAUCUUGAUUUUAUGUCGCUUCCUCCCGAACUUAGAUGACUGUAAUUUGUUAUGGCAUGUUGAAAUACAAUUUGUCUUUUUACAACCAUUGAAAUUGUUACAAUGAUCAUAAAUAUUACAUCCAUAUGCAAUUGUUUAGCAACCUCAAUAUUUGGGGGAGGACGUAUUCAUACAUGUAUGUUCUGCAGAAUUAAAUUCUGUUUUAAAUCCAUUGUUUUCUAUAGAUUAAGACAUGCAUUCAUAAAUUCGAACCCUCCCCUCUUCCUCAUCAACGAGUUUGCUACGCUCCUGUUAUGGAAUAGACAGAGUAAAUUAGAACAUAAAUAGAACAUUUUUAUCAUUAGUCCAUAGUAAAAUGUAGACUUACUCAAGUAAGUUAAUUAAGGUUCAAAUAUCGUCACGUCCAAUAUAAUGCCAAUGUCAUUAAUAGGAAAGUACAUACAGGUUAGAGAUAUUAUGGGGAAAAACAACUUGAUAUUUUUUGUAUCCAAUAAUUUCUAGUCAAAUAAGGAGAGGCACCCUAUCUGUUGUAACCAAA